rnacentral:lncRNA from 1 species
AAACUUUCAUUUAAAAUGAAAUUAUAACUAUUUGAAUAUAAUAAAGAUAUAGAAUAAAAUAUUUAAUUUUUUCAUAAAACAAUAUUUUUAGAACACUGUGUAAAUAAUUUUUAUAGCGAAAAAGCAAAAUAAAUUCAUAUAUAUUGUAAUAUAGAUAACCAAAGUAUAAAAUUAAAUUUGCAGUGACACAUGGGCCCACGAACGACUAAAAGUGUCAAAAGAAUUGAACCUACAUAUUUUGAGGAUGUCAAUCCAAUUGUAGUCCUCGAUGAAAUGAGCUAUUUUACUGACUAUCCUAAUGCCUGAAAUGGGUGGAAAGGAGGGUGGUGAGAUUUUAUAAUCCCAGUGAGUAAACAAACAUCAUCCGAAAUAUCUAAAGUCGAGUAAAAUGAGACAAUUAAAAUAUUUCAGCUCAAUAUGUAUUUCAUAACAUAAAUAUUCAUUUCAUUUAAAUAUUCAACAUGGCUUAUGAGUAUCUUAAAAGCUUGGCUCCUGCCAAAAUCAUUCUCGGGGAUACCUUGGCCGAGGCAUCUAACCGAGUCCACCAAGGCUGUUAAAAAGUUCGUAUACACGUAAACAUAUUUUUAGUUUGAAAAACACAGCCAUUCCUU